UGAGGAAUAUUGGUCAAUGGGCGGGGGCCUGAACCAGCCAAGCCGCGUGAGGGAGGAAGGCCCUAUGGGUCGUAAACCUCUUUUGUCAGGGAACAAAAGCGAGUAUGUAUACUAGUCUGAGUGUACCUGAAGAAAAAGCAUCGGCUAACUCCGUGCCAGCAGCCGCGGUAAUACGGAGGAUGCGAGCGUUAUCCGGAUUUAUUGGGUUUAAAGGGUGCGUAGGCGGCGGUGCAAGUCAGCGGUAAAAGCCCGGGGGCUCAACCCCGGCGAGCCGUUGAAACUGCAGUGCUAGAGAAGGCGAGAGGUACGCGGAAUGCGCAGUGUAGCGGUGAAAUGCUUAGAUAUUGCGCAGAACUCCGAUUGCGAAGGCAGCGUACUGGCGCCUGACUGACGCUGAGGCACGAAAGCGUGGGGAUCGAACAGGAUUAGAUACC
rnacentral:rRNA from 1 species